rnacentral:tRNA from 1 species
GCAGGUGUGGCUCGAUGGUAGAGCACUUGCCUGGUAUGCAUGAGGCCCUGGGUUCAGUUGCCAGUACGCU